rnacentral:rRNA from 1 species
ACGAACGCUGGCGGCGUGCCUAAUACAUGCAAGUUGAGCGAUGAAGAUUGGUGCUUGCACCAAUUUGAAGAGCAGCGAACGGGUGAGUAACGCGUGGGGAAUCUGCCUUUGAGCGGGGGACAACAUUUGGAAACGAAUGCUAAUACCGCAUAACAACUUUAAACAUAAGUUUUAAGUUUGAAAGAUGCAAUUGCAUCACUCAAAGAUGAUCCCGCGUUGUAUUAGCUAGUUGGUGAGGUAAAGGCUCACCAAGGCGAUGAUACAUAGCCGACCUGAGAGGGUGGUCGGCCACAUUGGGACUGAGACACGGCCCAAACUCCUACGGGAGGCAGCAGUAGGGAAUCUUCGGCAAUGGACGAAAGUCUGACCGAGCAACGCCGCGUGAGUGAAGAAGGUUUUCGGAUCGUAAAACUCUGUUGGUAGAGAAGAACGUUGGUGAGAGUGGAAAGCUCAUCAAGUGACGGUAACUACCCAGAAAGGGACGGCUAACUACGUG